CACCUAGAGAUAAAGAGAGUUUGGGCUGGAGAAGAAUCACUUCUCCCCUCUCCUUAACAUAUCUCUAAUGAUUAUGAUUCUAACCUUUUACCUUAGCAAAAACGGAGAAAUGAUGAUUAAUCUUCAAGCUCCCAAGCUCUUCCUCUCCUCUUUGUUCUUCCUAAGGUACCUUCCAUCAUGUAGGUGAAAUUGCAAGUGGAUUUAGAGCUAAGAAUGAGUGGGAGUGGUUGGUGAAAGAAUGAAUAGGUUGGUGCUAGUUGGCGUGUGAAGNNNN
rnacentral:lncRNA from 1 species